CAGGGCGCGGACGUGAGGUUCUGGGUCGAUGGGGAGAGUUUCCACGCACACCGGUGCGUGCUCGCGGCGCGGUCCCCGGUCUUCAGGGCGGAGCUCUUUGGCGCUAUGAUGGAGAGCGCCAGCCAUGUGCUGCGGAUUGACGACAUGAGAGCCGACGUCUUCUGGAACCUGCUGCAUUUCAUAUACACCGACUCACUGCCACCGGAGUGCAAGGAGGGAGAUCAAGAAGAGGCCGAGAUGGCUCAGCACCUCAUGGUGGUUGCCGACAGGUAUGGCAUGGAGAGGCUCAAGCUGAUCUGCGAGGACUGGUUGUGCCGGUGCAUGAACAUGGGCACGGCGGCGACCACGCUGGUGUUCGCCGAUCAGCACCGCUGCCACUGGCUCAAGAAGGCGUGCUUCGAGUUCCUCAAGUCUCCUUCCAUGCUGCAUGCUGUCGUGGCAACAGAUGAAUUCGAGCACCUGGCUAAGAGCCACCCGUGCGUACUCAAGGAGUUGAUGCUGGAGCUUGCUGCCUGUUGA
rnacentral:rRNA from 1 species